AGACGAAGGUGGCGAGCGUUACUCGGAUUUACUGGGCAUAAAGCGCGCGUAGGCGGCUUGGUCAGUCGGAGGUGAAAGCCCGCAGCUCAACUGCGGAACUGCCCCCGAUACUGCCAGGCUUGAGUGCAGGAGAGGUGAUUGGAACUCCAGGUGUAGCGGUGAAAUGCGUAGAUAUCUGGAGGAACACCAGAGGCGAAGGCGAAUCACUGGACUGCAACUGACGCUAAGGCGCGAAAGCUAGCGGAGCGAACAGGAUUAGAAACCCCGGUAGUCC
rnacentral:rRNA from 1 species